GGGGGGGGGGGGGGCAAAUAUAUGUUUUGCAUUCGCAGGGUAGAAAUGACUAAAUAUCAUGAAGGAAAACAUGAAUUGUCGAGUGAUGAUAACAUUUCCACCUGCCAGUAUCUGUUGAAAUGGUCGAAUAGAUUACACGGUGUGCCUUGUGCUGCUGCCUUUUGUAGCACCAAGAAUGUUUGAACAAGAAGUACUGACGUGUUUUGCAUCCUUCGUUUGUGUUUCUUCUUCUUCUUUUCUCUUUUAUCUCAUUAUAUCUUUUCUUUUCAGGUGGAAGUUUGCAUGUUCUAAGAAAAUGGAAUUGCAUUUCUUGGUUUUCGUGUCUCAACAAAUUCAGUGCUGCUAUUGGUUGUCAGUGCACUGUCUUCUUCUUUUCUCUUUUAUCGCAUUGUAUCUUUUUCUUUUCAGGUGGAAGUUUGGAUGUUGUAAGAAAAAUGGAGUUGCAUUUUUCGGUUUUGGUAUCUCAAUAAAUUCAGUGCUGCUAUCGAUUGUCAGUGCACUAGUUCACAAGCCUGGAGUGGAUUCCGGGUUGGACGCAUGAAAAGGUCUGUUUUUUUGGACCUUUUUUUUUAAUCCACGGUUCGGAUGGUUAGAUGAUGUAAAACGUUUGGCAAAUGUUGACACGGAUUGGACUCGAGCAAGAUCUGAUCUGCUACUAGGAGAGAGACGGAGAGUACCACUAACUACAUCCUUGAAACAAGUCAAUGGUAAUUGGGACAUAUUGGUUUGGAACUUUGGAUAUGCUUAUAUGCUUUCUAGAAGGAAAGUUGAUUUUACAAUUGAGAGAUCGGAUAAUCGAGGGGAAAAGUGCCUUGUACGGAAGGCUCUUGGCUGCGGUGGCUAAGUUACGUGGUGCUGCACGUUAUAAUUGCUUUUCGUCGCUGGCCCAAUCAAAUUGACAAAGCAACGUGGAAGAUACUCGCUAGCCGCCUUGGCUGGAAUGGUGCGACUUAAUUCAGAGAUUUGGGAUAUAACAUACAGUAUGAUGUUACUUCUUUAGGUCUGUUUCACGACCUUUGCAGUAUUUGUACGUCUAAUAAAAGUAACAGUUGACAGGUUCUUCUCUACCACCACGGAUAUGAAUAUGGGGCAGGAGUGGUCAUCAGAUGCACUGCUCUUGAGCUGUUCACUGUCAAGAUUUGAUUCAAAAAAAUUGUACGGUUCAGAUCACUUUUAAUUUUUUGUUUUUAAUUACGUGUGGGACUCACAAAAAUUCGUUCUAAAA